CGCUUUUACAUUAGCAUUACGAGAAAUUAAAGAUAAAAAGAAGGAUGAGAAUUCUUCCUUGUCGCUCUGAAAUUCCUCCAAGUACACUGAAAACGCCGGCCAUUCGGUUGGAGAAGACACCAUCUUCACCAGAUCAGAACAGUCUGUAAGGAAUAACAAUACUUCUCAAUCUGCAACUGUUUAAAUUAAUCGAUCAAAGAUAAUUUUCCAAUUAAUAAUCCAUGAUCAAAUUCUCCAAAUCAAUUAAUGAAACAAUCUUGAUUUAAUUGAUUUUAGGUGUUUCCUCAAUUAAAUUAAUUAGACCCAAAUCUAAUAAUUUAAUACACCAUAAUAUUCUAAUUCAUGAUCACAUUAAUUUGGCUCCAUAAACAAAUCUCCAUAAACCAUACGAACACAUAAUUGACUUUGGUUUAAUAAUCAAUACCAAACCCCACUAAUCGCACACACCACAAUUCUCACACGUGAUCAUGUUACCGGGUUCGGUUCAAUAAACAAAUCCCAUAAUACAUCUAAGACAUAUCUCGUAUUCUAGGAUUGGAUCAUAAGACUUAAGAUUCCUUGGUUUAGGUUGGUUAGACUUCGGUUCAAUAACAACAACCGCAACAAGAUUAGAGACGAGAGUUUAGCUUCGCCGUUUACCUUUCUCGGCGAUUACUCUCAAUGGAUCUGCGUGACGUCUCGACAAGCCGGUUCAAGCUCACGGAGGUUACAUCCUCAUGGCGCAACAAUCAAAAGCAACCAAAGCAUAAGACAAGGCCAAAGAAUUCAUGCACAAGUUACUAUAUAGAUCUAGGGUUUCCUUACCUUUUUUUUUUUUUUCUUUUUUUUUUUUUUUUUUUUUU
rnacentral:lncRNA from 1 species